rnacentral:rRNA from 1 species
GGAUGAACGCUGGCGGCGUGCUUAACCCAUGCAAGUCGAACGAUGAAGCCCAGCUUGCUGGGUGGAUUCGUGGCGAACGGGUGAGUAACACGUGAGUAACCUGCCCUUAACUCUGGGAUAAGCCUGGGAAACUGGGUCUAAUACCGGAUAGGAGCGCCUACCGCAUGGUGGGUGUUGGAAAGAUUUAUCGGUUUUGGAUGGACUCGCGGCCUAUCAGCUUGUUGGUGAGGUAAUGGCUCACCAAGGCGACGACGGGUAGCCGGCCUGAGAGGGUGACCGGCCACACUGGGACUGAGACACGGCCCAGACUCCUACGGGAGGCAGCAGUGGGGAAUAUUGCACAAUGGGCGAAAGCCUGAUGCAGCGACGCCGCGUGAGGGAUGACGGCCUUCGGGUUGUAAACCUCUUUCAGUAGGGAAGAAGCGAAAGUGACGGUACCUGCAGAAGAAGCACCGGCUAACUACGUG